rnacentral:rRNA from 1 species
UACGAAGGGGGGCUAGCGUUGCUCGGAAUUACUGGACGUAAAGGGAGCGUAGGCGGAUAGUUUAGUCAGAGGUGAAAUCCCGGGGCUCAACCUCGGAACUGCCUUUGAUACUGGCUAUCUUGAGUAUGGGAGAGGUGUGUGGAACUCCGAGUGUAGAGGUGAAAUUCGUAGAUAUUCGGAAGAACACCAGUGGCGAAGGCGACACACUGGCCCAUUACUGACGCUGAGGCUCGAAAGCGUGGGGAGCAAACAGGG